AGUUAAAUCUUAUCAUUUAAUGAUUGGGCAGAGAUAAAAUAUAUAAAUAAUUAAUUUAUUUAGUCAAUUAGUAAGAGUAUAAAACAUUGUAAGAAGGGUGAUAGUAAAGAAGUAUUGUAAAAGAAAGAUUAAGAAAAAGUUACUGUAGAAAAGAAGUGUUAUAAGCGUGUACCUUUUGUAUCAGGGAUAAUUAAAAUAAAUAGUUGAGUGUCUGUUAUCCCGAAAUAAUAGGAGCUAAAUUUAAGAUAUUUUUUGCGUGGAAAAGCAAUAUUUAACAUAGAUUUAGUGGUGAUAUGUUAUCCGACUGUUAUAUAUCUGGUUCUUUUCGAAAAAAAUUUAAUUUUGAAAACCAUUAAAACUAAAAUGAGUUCUUCAAUUGCAGGAGGCAUGAGCUUCUUGUAAUAAAUUAUUAUAAGGUAAAGAUUGUUUAGUAAUUUAAAUUGGCUUAAAAACAGCCAUUUUAAUAAAGCGUUUUAGUUAAGAUAAUCAAUUAAAAUAAUUUAUAUAAACCUAUAGUUGAUUAGAAAAGAAUAAAUUUUAAUAAAUUGAUAUUUAGUUAAAAUGAUUAUAUUAGUAGUAUAUUAGUUGUUAGAUAUAUAAAUCAAGAGAAUAUGUAAAAUUUUAUAGAUUAGUUGGUGUUGAAAAGGAACUCGGCAAAUAAACAACUCCUGCCUGUUUAUCAAAAACAUGUCUGUAAGAAUAUUAAUUUAAAGUCUGGCCUGCCCACUGAAGGAGUUUAAAGGGCCGCGGUAAUUUGACCGUGCGAAGGUAGCAUAAUCAAUAGUCUCUUAAUUGGAGGCUGGAAUGAAUGGUCGGACAAGGAGUAGACUGUCUUUACCAUAUUUAGUGAAGUUUACCUUUAAGUGAAAAGGCUUAAAUAUAUUUAAGGGACGAUAAGACCCUAUAAAACUUUACAGUAUAGUUCAUACUCUAUAAAAUAAUAUGUAAUGUUGGUUAUGAGUUACCUGUUAUGUUGGGGUGACAAAGAUAUAAAUAAGUAACUGUCAGGCAAUAAAAAUAAUAAUAAUUAGUUUAAUUGAUCCUUUAUUAGAGAUUAAAAGAUUAAGUUACUUUAGGGAUAACAGCGUAAUUUUCUUUGAGAGUCCUUAUCGACAAGAAUAGUUGCGACCUCGAUGUUGAAUUAAGAUUUCUUUUAAAUGUAGCAGUUUAGUUAGUAGGUCUGUUCGACCUUUAAAAUCUUACAUGAUUUGAGUUCAAACCGGUGUGAGCCAGGUUGGUUUCUAUCUUUUAUUUAAUACGAAAUCACUUUAGUACGAAAGGAUUGAGUGGUUAGAAAAUUUCUUAGUAAAGAUGAAAUUUAAA
rnacentral:rRNA from 1 species